CCUACGGGGGGCAGCAGUGAGGAAUAUUGGUCAAUGGGCGAGAGCCUGAACCAGCCAAGUCGCGUGAGGGAGUACUGCCCUAUGGGUUGUAAACCUCUUUUGUCGGGGAGCAAAAGCCGGACGUGUCCGGCUGUGAGAGUACCCGAAGAAAAAGCAUCGGCUAACUCCGUGCCAGCAGCCGCGGUAAUCCGGAGGAUGCGAGCGUUAUCCGGAUUUAUUGGGUUAAAAGGGUGCGCAGGCGGAUUUUUAGGUCAGUGGUAAAAUCGUGGGGCUCAACCCCAACCAGCCGUUGAAACUGGGGAUCUAGAGUGUGCGAGAGGUAUGUGGAAUGCGUGGUGUAGCGGUGAAAUGCGUAGAUAUUAGGAGGAACACCAGUGGCGAAGGCGGCCUACUGGACGGUGACUGACGCUGAGGCUCGAAAGCGUGGGGAGCAAACAGGAUUAGAUACCCGGGUAGUC
rnacentral:rRNA from 1 species